rnacentral:rRNA from 1 species
GACGAACGCUGGCGGCGUGCUUAACACAUGCAAGUCGAACGGAAAGGCCCUGCUUUUGUGGGGUGCUCGAGUGGCGAACGGGUGAGUAACACGUGAGUAACCUGCCCUUGACUUUGGGAUAACUUCAGGAAACUGGGGCUAAUACCGGAUAGGAGCUCCUGCUGCAUGGUGGGGGUUGGAAAGUUUCGGCGGUUGGGGAUGGACUCGCGGCUUAUCAGCUUGUUGGUGGGGUAGUGGCUUACCAAGGCUUUGACGGGUAGCCGGCCUGAGAGGGUGACCGGCCACAUUGGGACUGAGAUACGGCCCAGACUCCUACGGGAGGCAGCAGUGGGGAAUAUUGCACAAUGGGCGGAAGCCUGAUGCAGCAACGCCGCGUGCGGGAUGACGGCCUUCGGGUUGUAAACCGCUUUCGCCUGUGACGAAGCGUGAGUGACGGUAAUGGGUAAAGAAGCACCGGCUAACUACGUGCCAGCAGCCGCGGUGAUACGUAGGGUGCGAGCGUUGUCCGGAUUUAUUGGGCGUAAAGGGCUCGUAGGUGGUUGAUCGCGUCGGAAGUGUAAUCUUGGGGCUUAACCCUGAGCGUGCUUUCGAUACGGGUUGACUUGAGGAAGGUAGGGGAGAAUGGAAUUCCUGGUGGAGCGGUGGAAUGCGCAGAUAUCAGGAGGAACACCAGUGGCGAAGGCGGUUCUCUGGGCCUUUCCUGACGCUGAGGAGCGAAAGCGUGGGGAGCGAACAGGCUUAGAUACCCUGGUAGUCCACGCUGUAAACGGUGGGUACUAGGUGUGGGGUCCAUUCCACGGGUUCUGUGCCGUAGCUAACGCUUUAAGUACCCCGCCUGGGGAGUACGGCCGCAGGGCUAAAACUCAAAGGAAUUGACGGGGCCCCGCACAAGCGGCGGAGCAUGCGGAUUAAUUCGAUGCAACGCGUAGAACCUUACCUGGGUUUGACAUGGAUCGGGAGCGCUCAGAGAUGGGUGUGCCUCUUUUGGGGUCGGUUCACAGGUGGUGCAUGGCUGUCGUCAGCUCGUGUCGUGAGAUGUUGGGUUAAGUCCCGCAACGAGCGCAACCCUUGUUCACUGUUGCCAGCACGUUAUGGUGGGGACUCAGUGGAGACCGCCGGGGUCAACUCGGAGGAAGGUGGGGAUGACGUCAAGUCAUCAUGCCCCUUAUGUCCAGGGCUUCACGCAUGCUACAAUGGCUGGUACAGAGAGUGGCGAGCCUGUGAGGGUGAGCGAAUCUCGGAAAGCCGGUCUCAGUUCGGAUUGGGGUCUGCAACUCGACCUCAUGAAGUCGGAGUCGCUAGUAAUCGCAGAUCAGCAACGCUGCGGUGAAUACGUUCCCGGGGCU